GCGACGACGGACGGCGGCUACACAACACACUCUGGUGCUGCUGCAAUUCACACUGUGCAAGUAUGCCCACCACCACAGAGAGUGUCUGUUGCAAAGAGCAGGCCAAAGUCAAAGAAAAAGCUGGGAGCCUGCCCUGCAUCACGAAGCACCAACUUUCGGUGGUGCUUCGUGAUUGGUGACUCGGGCACGCAAGUACAGAUAUACUGCCUACUCCCAGUUCGUAUCGUGGAUAUACGGGAAGCUGGGAAGAGAGAACAGGGUCCCCCUGCCAAGCUGUGUUGUGACAAGAGUGUGACAAGAAUUCCCUGCCCCGAAGCCCUCCGACUACAGAGGCUUUAGGUACUCAUGUUAAGAAGGUUGCCACGUUCAGUGAAAGCUAUCAUGCAUCUGCUUCCCCGAAAAGCAUUCAGGAGCCCCAAUCACUACAAUCUGUGGAGGAAUUGCUUGGUGCAUGAUGAGGUUGAAGAUAUGUUGAGACCUCAAAAACUGUGUGCAUGCACUGUACAGUAUAAACAUAUUUUCAGCCUCAUCAUUUGCCAAGUACUUGCCGUAGGUAGCAGUUAACCAUAAGAGUACACGGAUUGGCGCUCCAGGCUGCCUUGUGAAAUAACAGACAUACAGAAGUACCGUAUCUCCACAACUGAAACAGACAGAUUUUUGUGAAUGAGCUGGUUGUAGUUUAACAUUCUUAGACAAAACCUUGACACGAGGGAAAAACGAAAGACAAACACAGUCUCAGAUGACUUUGUGUUUGUGUCGUCUUUCGUUUUUCUCUCGUCUCGGGGGGUUUUGUCUAAUAGUGUUAAAUUUUUGUGCUUGUUAUAUCAGACCCCCCAAAAAAACUAGAAAACGAGGCCGAGCGAGUGACUUUGGUCGCAUGCCUGGAGGUCUUUGAGAUGUGCAUGCAUGAUUAAAGAAGACAGCGAGACCGCUUUGAAAGGGUUUCAUCUCAAACGCUUGGUGGAAGCAAGGACUACUCUCUGCGAUCUCUGGACAGCAACAAACAAGUCCCCUCGGACUGCAACAAUGACUAUAGUCCGUUGCAGGUUAUAAAUAGCAGGAAGGGUGGAAAAGUAAAACCACCGCUCCUCACCAGGAUGUGUUGUUUCCUCCUCACCCCUCUCCAGCGCUGACUCCACUAAUCUGGAGAGAGAGAGAGAGACUUCACCUGCUAUUCUUCACCUGUAAGACUAUAGUCCUUAAUAUUCUGUUAAUUUGUGUAAGUGCAUUCAUAAAAUGUGCUGUCUGAGGUAUCAGUGUUAGGCUCCAUCGUUUCAACUCCAUGGUAGCAUCGGGAACGCGUUCAGAUUGUGCAAAUACUGGAUUAAUGUAAUACACUGUGUGGUUAUGAAAAGGUGGGGGUGCUUCUAGAGGCAUGUGUCGUGUCUAGGUGAACUGCUUCCAAUAAAGAGGUCAAUAUUUUUCAUGGAACAAAAAAUUGUGUUCAUUGCUGGUACGACUCUACACAGAGUCCC